AACAACCUGUCGGGUUCGUGAAGCAGGUUUAUGAAUUGGGCCAACAUUUAAACCUUGGGAGUCUAACUCCGGUGGUUCUUCGGGAUUGCCGGGAAGGCACCCACCUGGAUUACCAGGCCGCCAAUUCUUUUCCUGCACACGGCUUGACGGAUCA
rnacentral:other from 1 species